rnacentral:rRNA from 1 species
CAUUGGAAACUGGGAGACUUGAGUGCAGAAGAGGAAAGUGGAAUUCCAUGUGUAGCGGUGAAAUGCGUAGAGAUAUGGAGGAACACCAGUGGCGAAGGCGACUUUCUGGUCUGUAACUGACACUGAGGCGCGAAAGCGUGGGGAGCAAACAGGAUUAGAUACCCUGGUAGUCCACGCCGUAAACGAUGAGUGCUAAGUGUUAGAGGGUUUCCGCCCUUUAGUGCUGAAGUUAACGCAUUAAGCACUCCGCCUGGGGAGUACGGCCGCAA